rnacentral:snRNA from 1 species
ACACUGGGAGAUACCAUGAUCAUGAAAGUGGUUUUCCCAGGGUGAGGCUCAUCCAUUGCACUUCAGGUGUGUUGAUCCCUGUGAUUUCCCAAAUGUGGGAAAAUCAACUGCAUAAUUUGUGGUAGUGGGGAACUGUGUUUGUGCUUUCCCCU